AUAAACAGUAUAGCUUGUUUAAGAUAUAGGACCUGCCAAAGCUUCCUAUUCUGGAAGCUAAGCAGGCUCAGGUCUGGUUAGCCUCUGAAUGGGAGACCACUUGGGAAUACCAGGUGCUGUAGAUU
rnacentral:rRNA from 1 species